UCCCUGGUGGCUCAGAGGUAAAGCAUCUGCCUGUGAUGUGGAAGACCCGGGUUCGAUCCCUGGGUUGGGAA
rnacentral:tRNA from 1 species